UACAGAGGGUGCGAGCGUUAAUCGGAGUUACUGGGCGUAAAGGGCGCGUAGGCGGUUAGUUAAGAUUGUUGUGAAAUCCCUGGGCUUAACCUAGGAACUGCAACGAUGACUGGCUAGCUAGAGUACUGUAGAGGGUAGUGGAAUUUCCGGUGUAGCGGUGAAAUGCGUAGAGAUCGGAAGGAACACCAGUGGCGAAGGCGGCUACCUGGACAGAUACUGACGCUGAGGCGCGAGAGCGUGGGGAGCAAACAGG
rnacentral:rRNA from 1 species